AAAAAAAAUCAUAACCAACUAACAGAAAUAUGAGAUCUGAAUAAGGGCUUUUAUUCAUUUUCUCCUUUUACCCUUUUUCGUUAUUAAUUCUGUUGAGCAAUGAUGACUGCUCAUACAAUCCAAAUAUUGGACAAUUUUGAUAAUCUUGAUCAUCUGAUAAACUCAGUAGCUGGCUAAGGAAAUAAAACACAGAGAUAGGCAAGCCAAGCAAAAAGCAUUAUAAAACUAAAAUUGGUAAAGAUACUGAAGUGUCAAUUUAGGAACAAAUAGAUAUAUAGCUUCCUAAUACAAUUCAGAUGCAAUAGCCCAAAGAUUUGAUGAUAUACACCGCAAUGAUAAGCAAAAAAGCUAAUCAGUUGAACUAAAU
rnacentral:misc_RNA from 1 species